rnacentral:snoRNA from 1 species
UUUGUUUCUAACCCCAUAGUAGAAGGCAAGGGGAGUUUAAACAGAGGUACGCACAGCAAGUGGAUCUUGUCGCCUUUGAGAGGCUGUGGCUGUGCCCCUCAAAGUGAAUUUGGAGGUUCUACACUC